rnacentral:rRNA from 1 species
AUUGAACGCUGGCGGCAGGCCUAACACAUGCAAGUCGAGCGGAGCGGCGGACGGGUGAGUAAUGCCUAGGAAUCUGCCUGCUCGUGGGGGAUAACGUACGGAAACGGGCGCUAAUACCGCAUACUCUCAGAUGAGCCUAGGUCGGUUUAGUUAGGUGGUGGGGUAAAGGCCUACCAAGGCGACGAUCCGUAACUGGUCUGAGAGGAUGAUCAGUCACAAUGGAGAUGAGAAACGGUCCAGACCUCUAAGGGAGGCAGCAGUGGGGAAUUUUGGAAAAUGGGCGAAAACCUGAACCAGCCAUUGCGGGUGUGUGAAGAAGGUCUUUGGAUUGUAAAGCUCUUUAAGUUGGGAGGCGGUACCAACAGAAUAAGCACCGGCUAACUUCGUGCCAGCAGCCGCGGUAAUUC